GGGACAGGUGUGGUAGGGAGUAUAUUUUAUUGUGGUUAAAGUGAGGGGACCUGUAGUG
rnacentral:tRNA from 1 species